GGUGGUUUCAGUGUCCACAGUUUGUUCUUUUUUCUUUGGGUACAUGCCAGCCUUACCACGGCCCUCCUGCACUGCUAUUUAAUUGGAAUGUGAGCCACAAUGGAGGCUACACUGUCCAUCUCAGGAACUUCUUCUCAACACUCCUACAUCUUGUUUGCCUUGCAGCCAUAUACAACCACAAAACCCAAAUGCAUUAUUUGAUCCAAAUCGAUGAAACCAACUUCUGCGGGGAAGUGAGGAAUGAAAAUAUCUUGGGGUGGAUCUGGCGCCAAUGAUGAAAAGUUUUUGUUAAUUGAUUGGAACAUCCAAAACUGUUGUGCUCUGGGACCAAAAGUUCCCUCAGGAAAGAGCGACUUCAGUGGAUUUCUGAAGGCUGCAGGAAGAUUCACAGGUUGCACAAACCAGUUCCAGAAGCACAAAAAGAAGUGAACACUGAGGCAUUCAUUUUUAUGAACUUCAUCAUGUCAUCCUCUUACUCUAGGAAAACAAUUACACAGCUUUUAUACUGCAUUAUUUGAGCUUCCUUCAACAAUUUGUGUCUGGGUCAAAUGCCAUGGACUUGAAUUAAAAAGAAGAGUAUGAUCAUUAAUUUAUCUGUAUUACGCGAGAGUAUCUGGCAGCUUUUCUGUUCUUAAUAAGUAAAUAUUUAAAAAACAAACAUGUUUAUAAAUAAUAAAAAGUAGUCUGAAGAAGUGAUAAUGGUG
ensembl:lncRNA